CUAUAAUGCAGUUGAGCGCUGAAGGUUGGUACUUGUACCAACUGGAUGAGCAGCGAACGGGUGAGUAACGCGUGGGGAAUCUGCCUUUGAGCGGGGGACAACAUUUGGAAACGAAUGCUAAUACCGCAUAAAAACUUUAAACACAAGUUUUAAGUUUGAAAGAUGCAAUUGCAUCACUCAAAGAUGAUCCCGCGUUGUAUUAGCUAGUUGGUGAGGUAAAGGCUCACCAAGGCGAUGAUACAUAGCCGACCUGAGAGGGUGAUCGGCCACAUUGGGACUGAGACACGGCCCAAACUCCUACGGGAGGCAGCAGUAGGGAAUCUUCGGCAAUGGACGAAAGUCUGACCGAGCAACGCCGCGUGAGUGAAGAAGGUUUUCGGAUCGUAAAACUCUGUUGGUAGAGAAGAACGUUGGUGAGAGUGGAAAGCUCAUCAAGUGACGGUAACUACCCAGAAAGGGACGGCUAACUACGUGCCAGCAGCCGCGGUAAUACGUAGGUCCCGAGCGUUGUCCGGAUUUAUUGGGCGUAAAGCGAGCGCAGGUGGUUUAUUAAGUCUGGUGUAAAAGGCAGUGGCUCAACCAUUGUAUGCAUUGGAAACUGGUAGACUUGAGUGCAGGAGAGGAGAGUGGAAUUCCAUGUGUAGCGGUGAAAUGCGUAGAUAUAUGGAGGAACACCGGUGGCGAAAGCGGCUCUCUGGCCUGUAACUGACACUGAGGCUCGAAAGCGUGGGGAGCAAACAGGAUUAGAUACCCUGGUAGUCCACGCCGUAAACGAUGAGUGCUAGAUGUAGGGA
rnacentral:rRNA from 1 species